GAAAGAUCCGCCACCCCAAAACGCUCCACGGUGACAAUGGGGUAAGCUUUGGCCAAUGGGUUGACCCCAAUGGGGUCAGUGGGGCCGAUCCCGAUCCUUAUGGGGUCAGUGGGGUCAACGUUGGCCAAUGGGUCGGUCCUGGGCCUAAUAGGGUCAGUGGGGUUGACUCCGACCCUAAUGGGGUCAGUGGGGUCAGCCCCGACCCCAAUGGGGUCAGUGUUGGCCAAUGGGUCAGUCCUGGCCCUAAUGGGGUCAACCCGGACCCUAAUAGGGUCAGUGGGGUUGACCCCGACCUUAGUGGGGUCAGUGGGGUCAACCCCGGCCCUAAUGGGGUCAAUGGGGUCAACCCCGACCCUAAUGGGGCCAGCAUUGGCCAACGGGUCAACCUUGACCCCAGUGGGACCAGUGGGAUCAACCCCAACCCUAAUAGGAUCAACGGGGCCAACCUUAACCCUAAUAGGGUCAGUAGGGUCGACCUUAACCCUAAUAGGGUCAACCCCUAUAGGGCCGGCGCUCCUUUUGUCCCUUUUCUUCCCUUUUGGCCCCAAAUCCACGGGUAGGAAUUCGACCUUCAGCUCUUCGUCCCCAUUGUCGUCUUUUAGGAUCGGGAGUUUAUGGGGUGGCGGGGAGUCGGCAUCUAUGGGGUCGGAUGUCACCUCCUCUAUGGGGUCGGCGCUGCUGUGGGGUGGAGCGAAGCCGCGGGCGGAUAGAAGCAAUGGGGUGGCGAUGUGGGAUAUGGGGCCGUUGGAUAUGGGGCCGUCCGCUGUAGGGUCGUCGGUGUCGGGAUCCCAAAUUCGGGGGAGGUCGCGCAGAUCGGGAGCGGCUGUAGGGGGGGAAAACCCCAUAAAGGGUCAUCAGGGCAACCCCAAGACCCCAUAGAUCCCAAAUGGGGUUAAUGGGGUUGGGAGGAACCCCAAAGAGCCCAAAUGGGGGUUAUAGGAUCAUAGGAGACCCCAUAGAUCCCAAAUAGGGUUAAUGGGGUUGGAAGGAAACCCCAAAGAGCCCAAAUGGGGUUUAUAGGACCACAGAAACCCCCGAAGAACCCAAAUGGGAUUUAUAGGAUCAUAGGAGCCCACAAAGUCCCCAAAUGGGGGUUUAUAGGACUGUAGGGUCCCCCAAAGAACCCAAAUGGGGUUUAUAGGAUCAUGGGAGCCCCCAGAAACCCCAAAUGGGGUCUAUAGGAUCAUAGGAAAUCCCCAAAGACCCCAAAUGGUGUUUAUAGGACUACAGGAGCCCCCAAAGACCCGAAAUGGGGUUUAUAGGAUCACGGGAGCCUAUAAAUGGGGUUUUAAUGACUGUAGGGUCCCCCAAAGACCCCAAAUAGGGUUUAUAGGAUCAUAGGAGCCCCAAAGACGGUUUAUAGGAUUGUGGGAGUCCCCAAAGACCCCAAAUGGGGUUUAUAGGAUCAUGGGAGCCUACAAAUGGGGUUUAUAGGGCCAUAGAGGUCCCCCAUAGACCCCAAAUGGGGUUUAUAGGAUCAUAGGAGCCCCAAAUAGGGUUAAUAGGAUCACGGGAGCCCCAAAUAGGGUUUAUAGGAUCAUGAGAGCCCCCAAAGACCCCAAAUGGGGUUUAUAGGAUCAUGAGAACCCCCAAAGACCCCAAAUGGGGUUUAUAGGAGCCCCCAAAGAAAGACCCCAAAUCCACCCCAAUCCCCCCCAAUAAAACUCCAUAUCCCCCCCCCCCCGACCCCAUAAACUGCCGCCCCCCCCGACCCCAUAACCCACCUGUAGGGCCGCAGAGGAGCAAUAGGGCCAAGGCGCCCCACAGGCGCUGCCCCAUUGCGGGGGUCGGUUGGUAUUAUGGGAUGGCAAUGGGGUGCGGGGGAACCUUUGACCCCAUAAAGGGGGUGGGGUGGAAACCUGAGCCCAACCGACCCCAAAGACGAUCCCAUUGCCGUUGAGGAUCGCCAACGGCUGCCCUGAAGGGGUGGGGGGGUUCCUCGUGAAAACGUGCAAUCCGCGUGCAAAUCCUCGUGCAAACGUGCAACCACAGCCCGCCAUAACUUCAGUCCUCGUGCAACCCCGCGUGCAAAGCACCACGUGACCCCGGGGAGCUCCUUGUGCUCGCAGCCCUCGUGCAACCACAGCCCACCGUGACGUCAACCCUCGUGCAAACCCACGUGCAAACCACCCCCACUCGUGCAAACCACCCCCAUCGUGCAACCCCUCGUGCAAAGCACCACGUGACCCCGGGGAGCUCCUUGUGCUCGCAGCCCUCGUGCAACCACAGCCCACCGUGACGUCAACCCUCGUGCAAACCCUCGUGCAAACCACCCCCAUCGUGCAAACCCUCGUGCAAAGCACCACGUGACCCCGGUGAGCUCCUUGUGCUCGCAGCCCUCGUGCAACCAUAGCCCACCAUGACGUCAACCCUCGUGCAAACCCUCGUGCAAACCACAACCCAGUCGUGCAA
ensembl:lncRNA